rnacentral:rRNA from 1 species
GUAGGGUCCAAGCGUUAAUCGGGAAUUACUGGGGCGUAAAGCGUGCGCAGGCGGUUGUGCAAGACCGAUGUGAAAUCCCCGGGGCUUAACCUGGGAAUUGCAUUGGUGACUGCACGGCUAGAGUGUGUCACGGGGGGGGUAGAAUUCCACGUGUAGCAGUGAAAUGCGUAGAGAUGUGGAGGAAUACCGAUGGCGAAGGCAGCCCCCUGGGAUAACACUGACGCUCAUGCACGAAAGCGUGGGGAGCAAACAGGAUUAGAUACCCUGGUAGUCCACGCCCUAAACGAUGUCAACUAGUUGUUGGGGAUUCAUUUCCUUAGUAACGUAGCUAACGCGUGAAGUUGACCGCCUGGGGAGUACGGUCGCAAAGAUUAA